rnacentral:rRNA from 1 species
UGGAUAAGGCAUGCAAGUCGUGCGGUGUUAUUUUGCUCCGCAAGGAAUGAGAUAACAUAGCGGCGAACGGGUUAGUAACACGUGGGAAUUUGCCCUAAAGACGGGGAUAACCAGCCGAAAGGUUGGCUAAUACCCGAUGGUCUAGCAAUAGUAAAGGCGCAAGCCGCUUUAGGAGAAGCCCGCGGGCUAUCAGCUUGUUGGUGGGGUAAUGGCCUACCAAGGCUAUGACGGCUAGGGGGUGCGAGAGCGCGGCCCCCAACAUUGGGACUGAGACACGGCCCAGACUCCUACGGGAGGCAGCAGCCGAGAAUAUUUGCCAAUGGGCGAAAGCCUGAUCGACCGACGCCGCGCNNNGGGCUUUUCUGCGGAUCGUACGCCAC